GCUAUGCCAAGUAAAUAUUCCUAAAUCAAAUCCGGCCAUCUCAAACCAUAUAUUCAAGUUUGAUUAGCAAAAGAUAAGAUUUUAAAUUAAAAUAUCCCCUUUUAAUAAUUCACUACACAUGCGCAUACUGUUCUCAACACUUCCAUCAGAAAAAAAUCCCAAUCAUCCUUAUCCAAAACUUAAUCACAUGACGGUCGGCGGUGGCGCUGGUAGUGCCGGCGGAGUUACCUCCGGCAAAAAACGACACCGUGUUGGUAGCAAUAGUCGACUUUCUUCAACUAUCGGAAUAAUCGACUCUUCUCGUCCCGAUAAUACCCUUACGGAACGGACUCAAAAACCGUCAAGCAUUCGCCGUACAUCGUCUUACACCGUUAUAACUGCUACCGGUGGAUUUAACGAUUCAUCCACGGCUGACGUCAUGCUCCGUUUAUUCAUCGAUCAAUUACCGUUAUUCGAUACGGAUGAUUCCGAAUCGAUCUCAGCCGUUGAUUCAUCUCAAUCUGAUGUCCAGAUCUAUCUUCACUCAAAUGUUCUUCGUCGUUGUAAGUAUUUCGAUGCUCUCUUAUCUGAUCGCUGGCAAAAGGAAUCAAACGACGUCGUUGAUUCAGGAAACUCUUCUAGAAUGUUCCGAAAGCUUAAUCUCGGUGUUCCUUCACAUACUGGAUCAAUUGAUCAUCAUUUAACUGUUCUUCAGCUCUUAUAUACAAAUGAUUUUUCGAUUACUAUAAACAGUGUUUCGAUAGCUUUGUGUUUACUUCCUGUGGCUUUGGAAUUAAUAUUUGAGGAUUGUAUUAAGGCUUGUGUGAGGUUUAUUGAGGCUGUUCCAUGGACUGAAGAUGAAGAAAGAAAAAUACUCAGUAUCGUUCCGUUGUUAGGUAAAGAGGAAUCUGAAGAGCUUCUAGCUAGGGUUUCGAUUGAUAGGAACGAUGCGUCUGGAGAAAUGCUUCAUGGAUUGAUAUUAUCAGCACUUCAUAAUCAUCCUAACAUGGCAUUUGCUAAGGCAUUUGUAGCUAAGCUUAUGAGGGAUUUUUCGUCUAAACAGACAGCGAAGAGAGUGUUGGAUCGCGCUUUUUAUAGUAGCUUGAAGAUUGUGAAGGAAUCGUUGGAGGAUUAUUCGAGUCCUGAUUUUAGAGGUGAUCAUAAUGAGACUGAGGCGAUUCAGAGGUUGAAUUUGCAUACUGCAAUGACGAAUGGGAGGCAUUUGUUGUGGUUGGUUGAGAGGAUGGUUGAACUGAGAGUUGCGGAUACUGCUGUACAAGAGUGGAGUAAUCAGGCGUCGUUUACUGCUGAUUUGCUGAGGGCUCUAAGGGAUGAUGCGUGGAGGAAUAUCGUUCCGGGACUCCCUGCAGUUGUGCUUCGAUGCACUUGCAAGCUUUCUAAUGCAAUCACCACGGGAACUAUCUUGGCUACUAGACAGGUCCGUUUUUCGUUUUCUCAAUUUUACAGUUGAUUAUUUCUAGUAUAUGUAAUUGCUAAACAUAGAGCCUAGGGAAUAACAACAACAACAACAACAACAUACCCUCCGACAGGUGGGUUUGGGGAGGGUAGAGUAGCAUUUCCCAGGUCAUCUGCUGCAAACUAGAAUAUUCAAUUUGUCCCGCCUUUUACUUAUUAAAUAGAUGAAGCAGAUGAGCUUACAAAGAAAAUGUUACCCCUUUAUCAGUUACUAAUCUUAAAAGACAAAGUUACCCGUUAUUGAUCACUAAUACAACAACAAUAACAUGCCUAGUGUAAUCCCACAAGUGGGGGGUCUGGGGAGGGCAAGAUGUACGCAGACCUUACCUCUACCUUUGUUGUGGGGUAGAGAGGCUAUUUCCGGUAGACCCUCGGCUGAUCACUAAUUUCAAGUGCAAGAACAAGUUAAAAAAAAAAAUUGACUCAUAGUGAAACAAGUGUUGUUCUUGAAGGCAUACCUUAAAGCCAAGUAGAGGUGAAUCUAGGAUUUCUAGAACAUAUGUGCACCACUUAAAAAAGAAGGAAAAAGAAGUAGCAAGUGGGAAUUGAUCCCUAAU